UUCAACUCUCUGCCAUCUCUCUCUCUCUCUCUCUCUCCCCCCCCCUCUCUCUCCAAGAAACUAUUUUCCAAUUUCUUGGCCUUGACAAAAUUUCAAUAAUUUGAAUUCCAAACAAAUCACCAUGCCGAUGAAGAAAUCGAGCCUCUUUGCAGCCUUUGUUGCUGCUGCUACUGCUACUGCUACUGCCUUCUCUGCUUCCUCCUUAUCUUCUAGCUGUAACUCCAAUGUUAAGGAAGCUGGCUCAAACAAAGAUCACCAGAGAUCGGCUUCCAUGGAUAAAUUUGCACCAAGGUAUGAUGGGUUGAGGUUUAUUGAAACACUGGUCACUGCUCACAGAUGACGAGAGAGUCAACAUCUGGCCUUUAUAGCUCCAUGGAUGAUACUGAUUAGAUGUACUAAUUUUAGCUAGCACCCAUCUUUUCUCUUAAAUUAUGAGAGAAAAGGAUGGCAUAAAGAAGGCAUCGUUAGGUUACGCGUGGAUGUCUGUUGGAUGACAAUGUUUUGUAGCACUACGAGUCCAAGAUGUGGUUCUGUGGAAGUCCCAAAGGGGAAUUCCAAGUUAUGAACAAUUUUCUUUCAAGUAUGGGAACAAAAUACUUUGUCCUUAUUGACCUUGCUAAAUUAGAGCAUUGAGAGCCAAAAAUCAAGUACUUCCAUGCUUGGAUGAAUUUGGAAGCUCAUUUGGGAUCAACCAAGUUCAAUUGGCAUGUUGCUUGCAUCCAUUUUUUUUGUUGUUCUUGAGCUGACAAGUAGGCCACCUAAAGCCCUAUUGGGUUUACUUCAAAAUUAGUUCUCAUGGAAUGACAUAGCCAAAUUCUUGAUUUUGCACCAGUCUCUUGCUUGAGUAUUUUGGGUUACCAAAAAUUUGAUCUGCUACCACCAUGAAGUGUGCCAAAUUCUUGAUCAAGCACUAUGCUUUUGCUUGAAAUAGUUUGCCAGCAUCAUCAAAAGACACGAGACCAGUCUGCAGACAGCAUUGGAACAAGAAUGUGGUGAUCAAUGGCCCAAAUGGCCUAGUGGUGUCUCGGGCUUCCAAAAGAAUGGUAAAAAAUUGAAGCAACUUUUUUGAACUUGAACCCAUGAUAAUGGGAAGGACGAGUUGUGUAUUUUCAAUGGUCGAACAGAGAAAAAGAAGUAAAAAAGAAAGAAAGUGAUGGAAUAAGUAUAUGCAUCUUCUUGAAUGCUUAAAAAUUGGAAAAUGGAUAUUCUUGAUUCCACUCAUCGGUAUGUAUGUUAACGCAAUCUAAAUUCUAUAAUUAAUUCACCACUUGGUUUA